rnacentral:rRNA from 1 species
AGAGUUUGAUCCUGGCUCAGAACGAACGCUGGCGGCGUGGAUAAGACAUGCAAGUCGAGCGAGAUUUUUCGUUGUAGCAAUACGAUGGAAAGUCUAGCGGCGAACGGGUGCUUAACACGUGGGCAACCUGCCAUGAAGUGGGGGAUAGCUCGCCGAAAGGCGAAUUAAUACCGCAUGUGAUUAGAGAGGACAUCCUUUCGAAAUUAAAGUCGGGGCAACCUGACGCUUCUUGUGGGGCCCGCGGCCUAUCAGCUAGUUGGUGAGGUAACGGCUCACCAAGGCUUUGACGGGUAGCUGGUCUGAGAGGACGACCAGCCACACUGGGACUGAGACACGGCCCAGACACCUACGGGUGGCAGCAGUCGAGAAUUUUUGACAAUGGGGGAAACCCUGAUCGAGCGACGCCGCGUGGAGGGUGAAGGUCUUCGGAUUGUAAACUCCUGUCAUUUGGGAACAAGGUGCACACGUUAACUGCGUGUGCAUUGAUAGUACCAGAAGAGGAAGAGACGGCUAACUCUGUGCCAGCAGCCGCGGUAAUACAGAGGUCUCAAGCGUUGUUCGGAUUCAUUGGGCGUAAAGGGUGCGUAGGCGGCGCGGUAAGUCGGGUGUGAAAUCUCGGAGCUUAACUCCGAAACUGCAUUCGAUACUGCCGUGCUUGAGGACUGGAGAGGAGACUGGAAUUUACGGUGUAGCGGUGAAAUGCGUAGAUAUCGUAAGGAAGACCAGUGGCGAAGGCGGGUCUCUGGACAGUUCCUGACGCUGAGGCACGAAGGCCAGGGGAGCAAACGGGAUUAGAUACCCCAGUAGUCC